rnacentral:rRNA from 1 species
GAUGAACGCUGGCGGCGUGCUUAACACAUGCAAGUCGAACGAAGCACCUUGGAAUGCGUCUUCGGACAAGUGAAUUGGUGACUUAGUGGCGGACGGGUGAGUAACGCGUGGGUAACCUGCCUCACACAGGGGGAUAACAGUUAGAAAUGACUGCUAAAACCGCAUAACAUGGCGAGACCGCAUGACCUUGCCAUCAAAUAUUUAUAGGCGUGAGAUGGGCCCGCGUCUGAUUAGCUAGUCGGUGAGGUAAUGGCUCACCAAGGCGACGAUCAGUAGCCGGCUUGAGAGAGUGAACGGACACAUUGGGACUGAGAAACGGCCCAAACUCCUACGGGAGGCAGCAGUGGGGGAUAUUGGACAAUGGGGGAAACCCUGAUCCAGCGACGCCGCGUGAGUGAAGAAGUAUUUCGGUAUGUAAAGCUCUAUCAGCAGGGAAGAAAAAUAACCAAAUUGACUGUACCUGACUAAGAAGCCCCGGCUAACUACGUGCCAGCAGCCGCAGUAAAAC